CUUUUCUUCUUUGUAGGCAGUACCCUGAUUUUAUUCACGGGUUUCACCUACAUGUGCUCAGGGAUUCCCUUUCCAGCUCCAGAGGGCAAACAUGUGGAGGGCUGCAGAAGAUGACCUUGGUCUUGACUUCCUCCUGAAGAAUGUAUGUGUAUAUGAAUGUUCAUAGUCACCCCAACCUUCAAUAACCACCGACAUGAUCAUCAAGACCAGAUCCUCCACCAGCAAAGAUUACAACUUGUUUGAGGCUCAGAUGAUCAUUAGUAUUUUUCAGCGAUAAAGUAUUUUAAAAUUAAGGUUAAUGAGGAGGAACCAGCAACUGAAUGAAGAUGGAGGAAAUGCAGCAGUGAGAUGAAGAAAGUAUUUUAAGGAUCAGUGGUGUCAAAUGCAACAGGACAAGGAGGAUGAGGACUGAGAAUCAUUGGAUGCAACAACUGCCAUUGGAUUUCUUCCCAUGGAAAUUUCCUGCUGAUAUGCUAGAGGAACAUGGUAUUUACUGAUAGCUGUAUACUUAGAAGUUUAAAUGUGACCUCAGGAAAAAUUUUUGCUCUGCAAGGGGGAGAUGAUGAAAAACAGCUUGGACACUGGCAAGUGGACCGAGGUCAUCUUUCCUAGGCUGAAAAGCUCAAAUGAGUGAGUCUGAACUGCUGUCUUCUAUUUUCUCCUCCAGGUCCCCUUCCCACCAUUCUCCACCCUGUUCUCUGCCCCUGGAGCCUGCCUAUAUGGACUUGUUAAUGGGAUCCCAUUGCCUUUGUUGGGUUUGGCCAAUUGAGAGCACUAUUAAAAGACCAGAGGGAGGGAAGAGAGCACUGGCGGAGUAGCUGCUUGCCUGGGCUCCUUCCUGUGGGGCUGACUCAGUGCCCCUUUGCAGAAAUCUCUGGUCCAUUCAAGGGGUCUUUUUCUACAUGACUUUCUGUCUCCAGAUCCCAGUAACCACUGCUCCCCUCCUUCUUUGUGGCAUAGGAAUGGUGACAGAUUACUGUCAGGCCUU